rnacentral:rRNA from 1 species
UACGUAGGGUGCGAGCGUUGUCCGGAAUUAUUGGGCGUAAAGAGCUCGUAGGCGGUGUGUCACGUCGGCCGUGAAAACCUGCAGCUUAACUGUGGGCGUGCGGUCGAUACGGGCAUCACUGGAGUUCGGCAGGGGAGACUGGAAUUCCUGGUGUAGCGGUGAAAUGCGCAGAUAUCAGGAGGAACACCGGUGGCGAAGGCAGCUCGCUGGGACGGUACUGACGCUGAGACGCGAAAGCGUGGGGAGCGAACAGG